rnacentral:lncRNA from 1 species
CUGCCCUCUGGGCCUUCUUCCACAGCAACAAGGCCAGGAAGAGCAGGGCUUCUCUAUCAUUGUGAGGGCCCAGAUGUGCAGGCCCGCCAAAGGGCCGCUGAGGACCGCAGGACAGGGCGGGCAGUCCCCGCCCACCAUGGGUUUCCUAGGAAGGGGGUGCCCUCGAGUGCACACCCACAGCAGCCCAGGUGCUGUCAGAUGAGAGUUUAGAAAAGCCUAAGUGGAGCGGUGAGGGGCCUCUGAGAGCCUCCAGCAGGGAGAGGCCCUGGGCGCUCACAGCUGAGCUCCGCCUCACACCUGGCCAAGGGCUGCUCCUGAGAGGGCCCCAGGCCAGGCAGCAAGGAAUGUGAGAGCACAGAGGAGGGAAAAGUACAGAAAGGAAAUCUUCCAGACCUUUGAAUUUCUGAAUUCCAACUCCUUAGAGUAGUGUAAAAGACACAGGACUAAGUUUCUGACGAUGAUGCUUAAAGAGAAUUAAUGAGGCCCAACCUCUGCAACUGGAACGAGCUCCUGGGCUUGACAACAGUGCCGAGCUGGGGGUAUCAGGAGAGGUACAGAGAUGGUGGUGAAUUCCUGAGGAAGGAGCCAGACUGAGUUUCCAGGUGACUCCAGAGGAGGUGGCGAAGUCCCAAGUUGGGAAUGGCCUUGUGGUAUCUGCAGGCAGAGGGGCCUCUGCAGUGCCAGAAUCAUGGUCCUUCGGGGUGGACAGGCAAGGAGAGAAGAGCCAGAGGGGCCUGUGUUAGCCCAGAACUCCCAGCCAGGGUCCCAGGGAGACAGCUGGCCUAGAACUGAUGAGCACCAGCCUCCUCCCGUGUACUGUGCACCUGAACUCGGGAGUUGGGACAGGAGUGGCCACUCUCUGGAUGAAGUGUCUGUUACUUCAAUAACAGGAACUAAAACAAAGAAAGGAGAUCGAAGUACAAAAAUUAAUUCUUGAACACUCAAGUAUUUGCACUGAAAUUCUAACCCAGGGGCCGGAUGCGGUGGCACAGGCCUGUGAUCCCAGUACUUGGGAGGGUGAGGCAGGAGGAUUGCUGUAAGUUUGAGUUCGAGGCCAGCCUGAGCUACAGAGUGAGUUCAAGUAUGCCUGAACUGCACAGCAAGACCCUGUCUCCCCCUGCCAAAAAAAAAAGAAAAAGAAAAAGAAACAAAGAAAGAAAAAUAAAGAAAUUUUAACCCAGAAUCUGUAAGUAUAAAAGUUAUAUAAUAGGAGCCUACAAACAAAAGACAAGUAACAAGCUGGGGGAAAUGAUUAUAUUACCUAUAACAAAAAUACCAAAUUCCUCCAUAUUUGAAGAACUCUUAUAAGUCAAUGAUAAAGUCUGACAACCAGUAGGAUAGUUCCUAAAGGUUAUAAAUAGAGAGUUCACUGAAAAACAAAUACAGAUGAUAUCUUAACUUUUGAAAGUUAGCAUUUCUCCAACAUAAUUUAAGAAAUGCAUGGGGCUGGGGAUGUAGCUCUGUGGCACAGCACCUGCCUGACAAGCGUGAGGCCCUGAGUUUGAUACCUAGUACCAAAAAAGAAAGAAAGAAAGAAAGAAAGAAAUCCAAAUUAAGAUCACAGUGAGACACUGUUUUUUACCAGUCAGAAAGUAAGACGGUAUCAACCCAAAGUCUUACAAGUUUAAUAAAGUCUGAUGCUGGUGAGAGGACAGAGCACCCUCCCUUGCUGAUAGUUGGUGAAAGCAUAAAUUAGCAUAACCUCAUGGAGUGCAAUUUGGCAAUAUCUUUCAAAAGUACAGUAUACAUUUCCUUUGACCCUGUCGCUCCAGUUCUAGGAAUUUACCCUACAGAUACAUCUCCACACAUCCUUAGGUAUGUUUCUUCAGGUUGCAUUGUUUAUAAUGGCAAAAAAGAAAAAAAGGAACAGCCCAAAUCUCUGUUAAAAGGGGACUGGAUACUAGAUAAACAAAUAGAAUAUUAUGUGGCCAUUCGAAAUGAAGUGGAUCUGUAUAUGCUGAUACAGACAGAUCUCUGAGAAGCAUAGUUAACUUUUAGAAAAGCAAGGUGUCGGGCUGGGAAUGUAGCUCAGUGGUGCUGUGCCUGCCUGGGAAGCACAAGGUCCUGAGUUUGAUCCUUGGUACCAGGAAAAUAAAUAAAUAAAUAAAUAAAAAUAACUAGGAGGGGCCGUUAAAAAAAAAGCAAGGUGUAAAACUGUUAUAAUUGUCUCCCAUUUGCAUUUUUAAAAAAAGAAUCUAUAUACAAAUUCAUGCGUGUUUACACACCCACAAAGGAUUAAAAGAUCUGUAUCUGUUCUCCUGGAGUAGUUUUGUGCUAUUUGGAAGAUUUAGCAUCUGUGGCUGUUUUAUUUUUAUAACUGCCUAUUAGGUGGAGGGAGAAGCAGGACUAAGGGACCAGAGACAGGAAGCAUCGAGAGCACUUCUGCUGGCAUUGGGCCGGGGGUGGGGGAUGGAUGGGAGGGUUGUGCAAGGAAUUGGUGCUUUCCACGUGGACAGCCUUAGACAUCACAUCUGAGUCACAGCCACCCUACAGGUGGUGAUGAAAGUCCAGAGCCUUCCAAAGGCGAGCUUGCUGACAUGUUCAUCCUUAGGGCCGGGGCACCUGAGGGGCUGCUGGUGGAGGAAGGCAGGACCAGUGAGCAAGCACAUGUAGGGAGAGGCAGAGAGCCAGUGCUCUUAUCACUGGCUGGGCUGGUGUCACUCUGCCAAGUUUCUACGGAGGCAUGAGGGGCCUGUGACUCCAGAAGGUGGGCUGAUCCAUUUAGGGCCUACCAGUGGGUUCUGGGCAGUGCCAGAGGGGAGGUCCUGGAAGCAACGUCACCAGGCCUGGGACCAGG